GAUGAACGCUGGCGGCGUGCCUAAUACAUGCAAGUCGAACGCUUCACUUCGGUGAAGAGUGGCGAACGGGUGAGUAAUACAUAAGUAACCUGGCAUCUACAGGGGGAUAACUGAUGGAAACGUCAGCUAAGACCGCAUAGGUGUAGAGAUCGCAUGAACUCUAUAUGAAAAGUGCUACGGGACUGGUAGAUGAUGGACUUAUGGCGCAUUAGCUAGUUGGUAAGGUAACGGCUUACCAAGGCGACGAUGCAUAGCCGAGUUGAGAGACUGAUCGGCCACAUUGGGACUGAGACACGGCCCAA
rnacentral:rRNA from 1 species